rnacentral:rRNA from 1 species
UACAGAGGCCUCAAGCGUUGUUCGGAUUCAUUGGGCGUAAAGGGUGUGUAGGUGGCGCCGUAAGUCGGGUGUGAAAUUUCGGAGCUUAACUCCGAAACUGCAUUCGAUACUGCGGUGCUUGAGGACUGGAGAGGAGACUGGAAUUCAUGGUGUAGCAGUGAAAUGCGUAGAGAUCAUGAGGAAGACCAGUGGCGAAGGCGGGUCUCUGGGCAUCUCCUGACGCUGAGGCGCGAAAGCGUGGGGAGCAAACGGG